CCUGCCCAUGCUGCUAAAUGUAGUCUAUUUCCCCAAGAGAUCAUGAUGUUAAGGACAAAAAAAUGAACAACAAAAGACUGCAAUGAACACGUAAAGUAGAUCAGAUCUAUCAUUGCUCUAGCUGUAAUCUACAAACCAUCAUUCUCCUAGCAACCAAAUCAAGUGUGACGAAUCAAAAUGUAAAACCUAGAAAUAAUGUUUAGCAUUGAAUAAAGUUGUAUAAGCUGAUACUAAGGUUUUAAGAACCCUAAUUAAGGCCGUAGCAAAUUACAUUCAGCAAACAUCGGAAAAUUUGUAGUCAAACAGAGAAAAGCGAGUCGAGAGAAUUUAAAUUUCAUGAUCAAGCAGAAACUAAAAUCGAAGAAGAUUGAUUUUGCGAGAAGAAAGGAUACGGAGUCCGAGAAUGCUUAUCCCUA